CCUACGGGUGGCAGCAGUGAGGAAUAUUGGUCAAUGGGCGCGAGCCUGAACCAGCCAAGUAGCGUGAAGGAUGACUGCCCUACGGGUUGUAAACUUCUUUUAUAUGGGAAUAAAAUGUUCCACGUGUGGGAUUUUGUAUGUACCAUAUGAAUAAGGAUCGGCUAACUCCGUGCCAGCAGCCGCGGUAAUACGGAGGAUCCGAGCGUUAUCCGGAUUUAUUGGGUUUAAAGGGUGCGUAGGUGGAUUGUUAAGUCAGUUGUGAAAGUUUGCGGCUCAACCUUAAAAUUGCAGUUGAAACUGGCAGUCUUGAGUACAGUAGAGGUGGGCGGAAUUCGUGGUGUAGCGGUGAAAUGCUUAGAUAUCACGAAGAACUCCGAUUGCGAAGGAAGCUCACUGGACUGCAACUGACACUGAGGCUCGAAAGUGUGGGUAUCAAACAGGAUUAGAUACCCUAGUAGUC
rnacentral:rRNA from 1 species